CAGGACGAACGCUGGCGGCGUGCUUAACACAUGCAAGUCGAACGAGGAUUACGAGAUUGAGAGCUUCGGCAGGAUAGAUCGUAAUUCGAGUGGCGGACGGGUGAGUAACGCGUGAGCAAUCUGUCCCAGACAGGGGAAUAACACUUGGAAACAGGUGCUAAUACCGCAUAAGACCACAGUAUCGCAUGGUACAGAGGUAAAAGGAGCAAUCCGGUUUGGGGUGAGUUCGCGUCCGAUUAGAUAGUUGGUGAGGUAACGGCCCACCAAGUCGACGAUCGGUAGCCGACCUGAGAGGGUGAUCGGCCACAUUGGAACUGAGAGACGGUCCAAACUCCUACGGGAGGCAGCAGUGGGGAAUAUUGGGCAAUGGGCGAAAAAGCCUGACCCAGCAACGCCGCGUGAGUGAAGAAGGCUUUCGGGUUGUAAAGCUCUGUUAUAGGGGACGAAGGAAGUGACGGUACCCUAUAAGGAAGCCCCGGCUAACUACGUGCCAGCAGCAGC
rnacentral:rRNA from 1 species